UGCAGGGGUGACUUCUGUGAGAAGCUGCCAGAAGCUUCCCCCAUGUCUGGCAGAGCCAAUACCAGCUGACUCCAGGAUGGACCUGCCACUGGCCAAGGCCAAGCAAAUCAGGAAUGAUAGUAACACCUCUGAAAUAACAUAUUUAAGAAGAAAAAAAGGUAUUGCACAGAUGAAAUUGCAGCCAGAAAAGAGUGGAGUGAGAACAUGUGAACAACUAUACAGAUGCCAAGAACUUCCAUAAAGUAUUCGACACAAUGAUGAAUAAAAAGUUAUUCUUAAAUGAGAAGAGGGAUAGGAGAAACCUAUGAAGUUGACAGAAAAAAAAGAAGAUUGUAGCAGGUUUUACUGAAUGAAAGCAUCAACUCAGAGUGAGGUUGCUAAUGAAACAGUCUCAAAGAGAGACACGGUGGAGCUUAGUGCUGUGUGGGCGUGACCGGGUUGACUUUCUGUACCACCCACAUCCUCACUGGAUAACAUGGUUUCCAGAGGAAAAGCUGGGUGCCCCACAGGACAUGCACCGUUUUGCCUCCCUUUCUCCAGCAGGGGGACUGUCAAGAUCAACUCCUGCAGACUCGAUCCCCCUGUCACCACUGCCAGUCCCCCUCUCAUUUUCUCGGCAAUGCAGUUACAGGACAUGGUGCUGAAAAGGAAAGGACAAAAACAUGAAUCAACCAUACUGCUAGAUCAAUAGCACAGCAGAGUCGUAGAAACAGCAGUGCAGGCACCUGAGUGGAACUGAGCCCAGUGGAGCAGCGGUGUGCCUCAACUUGGAUGACUUAGCUUUUGAGGGACUUGUUUGUCAUUGUUUUUUGUUGUUUUUUGGGAUGGGGGGUGGGAAACAUUAGCCACAGUAGCUCCCACUGCCUUCUUGCCUUUUUUCCUGACAGACAUGCGGUGCAGUAGAACAGUCACCACGUUGCCUUUCUCCGGUGAAGCCAUGUGAAUGCAACUUACAGGGAGUGUCCACCAUCUUGGUUUUGUUCCCAGUGAUGUACAUUUUUUUGUUGUUAAAACACUUCCUCUUUUUGUAUACUUUUGCUAUUAAUACUGCUGUUUUAGGGUGCGUGUCUUAUUCCAUUGCUUUGUGCUUUCAGUAAAUUGUUAUCUCAACCCAUAGUCUGUGCUUUUGUCCCUCUCUUACCAGAAGGGAUGGGGUAAAGGGAGUAGCUUAUUUGGAGUUUAAUUUCCAGCUGUUGUUAAAACUAACACACUAUUAAAAGAUAUCAAAAAUGCCAUGAAAAAGUAAGAAAUGAUUCAAGAAAAUCUAAGUGUGUUUAUUCCUUUAGAACAAGAAUAGUUCUCCUUCAGAAGUCAAUAAGAUGAUUUAAUAUAUAAAGUGUGAUUCUUGUCACGUGUGUUUCUACAGGUUACACUUUAAAAAUCAAUGUCAAAAAACACAGUGAUAUGCAUAGGCUAAUCCCAGUACCCCACAAAAAGAAUGGACAGGUUUUCAAGGAGCAGGCUUUGGUAUAAGGCAAUAGGAAUAGAAUGGUUCUGGCUCUUCUUAAUUAAAAUAGCUUAUUUUUCUACUUUGUGCUUAUCAUUUCACCUUAUUUACCAACAUAAAAUAUUGGGCAAGAGAUCAAAUGGGUAACAGCUGGCUGUAAAUUAAAUAAGGAUGAGAAAUAAAAGAUGAAUUCUAACAAAAAGCUGUGUGUUUUGAGUAAAAUAGCAACAGCAGGAUCAAGAGGCCUAAGGACUUUUAAAAUGAUACUUGAUAAGUUUAUGAAAUGGAUUAUAUGACAUGGUUGUCUGUAAUGGCAGGUGCUGCAUCCAGGCAGUUCAUCAUAGGAACAAAGGAAACAGGAUUAGGAAAAAAUUAUUGCAAUAAUCUUAUCUGCAAUUUUCAGAUAUGUGUCCUACGGUUAGGAGGUGUGGAGCAAUGAAGCAGUCUGCUCAGUGUAGCAGCAAGAAGCAAUCAGCUGUAGUUAACUUCAUUCUCUUUAUUAUUAUCCAUAGUUCUGCUGAUUCGAUUUGAUGAUUUCUUUGGAUUUUGUCUGCCUUUAAGGACAAGGUCAACAAGACAGUAAUUCAGAAAAGUAUCAAUAGACUAGCAAAUACAGAAAGCUAGGGGUCAAUAUAACUGGAGCAGAAUUUGUAAGGUGGUGAUGAUGUUUGCCUGGAGGUAGAAAAAAGGACGAAGUAUGAAAGAAAUUAAAAUCUAAGGAACAGUAACUCUUCAGAGGUCUUAUUUACCCUUAGGUUUAAAACUGAAUUUUCCAUGACUUGAAGGAGGAGUAGUCUCUGUUGUCCCAUGCUGUCAAAACUUUAUGUUUGAGUACUGCUACUGUUGAUAUAUACCCUUUGCUCUAGUGUUUAAAAGAUGCUUCUGGGCUGCAAUAUCAAUCAGCAGUAUUCUUUAGAAAUGUCAAUAGCUGGCAUAUUAGCACUUCAAAUCUAUAUCCCUUAUAAAUGGGGAGCACUUGACAUUCAUUCUGUACCACACAGCAGUACUUAAAUGGUGACACUAUAGAAGAGAGUGAAGAGAGAACAAAUAUAAACUUUGAAUUUUAGAAAGUGCAGAAGGACUCCAAAAGCAAUGGAAAAAUGGUAUCAGAACAAAGUUCUGGACCCAUUGAUACCCGGAGGAGCUUUGCUACUGAAUUCAAAGGGAUCGAGGUUUCAAAAUUAGCAUUUAUAUUUAAGAAAGUACUUGUUCUAGAGUAUUUACUUAAGGAAUAUGAAUUUUUCUGCAGCCUUGGUAUUUCAAGUAGAAAUGUUCUAUAAC